rnacentral:rRNA from 1 species
AUUGAACGCUGGCGGCAGGCCUAACACAUGCAAGUCGAGCGAGCGGCGGACGGGUGAGUAACGUCUGGGAAACUGCCUGAUGGAGGGGGAUAACUACUGGAAACGGUAGCUAAUAUCGCACACCAUCAGAGGUGUUCAGAUGGGAUUAGCUCGUAGGUGGGGUAACGGCUCACCUAGGCGACGAUCCCUAGCUGGUCUGUGAGGAUGACCAGCCACAAGGGAACUGAGACACGGUCCAUACGCCUACGGGAGGAAGCAGUGGGGAAUAUUGCACAAUGGGCGCAAGCCUGAUGCAGCCAUGCCGCGUGUGUGAAGAAGGCCUUCGGGUUGUAAAGCACUUUCAGCGGGGAGGCGUUACUCGCAGAAGAAGCACCGGCUAACUCCGGGCCAGCAGCCGCGGUAAUAC